ensembl:snoRNA
UGGCUUCAUUUCCUGGGGGGUGGGCUCAGCCUACACCACCUCCUCUCAGCUGAGCCUAGAGUAGAGGGCCAGACAUCCUUCCUAUAGGAGAGGCAUUUAAGUAAGAAGCCUCUCCUGGGCUGUCUCAGCCUCACAUUC